AGACAAACAUUCAAAUGAUUGCAUCUUCUCGACUAGAGCACUCUUGGACUGAAAACACAAUAAAGUCGAGAUGACAUUACCAAGGACAGUGGGAUACACAAUUGUUCUCCUGGCUAUACUUUAUAGUCUGGAGAAACAGGGAUACACACAGUCUGUGAAAGUAUUCUUUGAGGAAUUAAUGGAUCAAUCUCCCAGUAGUGCCAGGGACAAAAGAGCAAUUGCCUUAAAUUCCUCCUUUAGUAAUCCAUCCACUGAUUAUGUUCUCCAAGCUGUUGUGAACAUCUCUGAACAGGACCUUCUUAAUCUCAGAGCUCUUUUGGAGACACUCUCUUUGCCUUUAACAAUUAACAGCUCUGUUGAAGUCACCAGCAUUCAGACCACAACAGGUAAAAAAAAAAAAAACUUUCCCAUUGUUUGUCAAAGUUGAAUGUAUUCACAAAGUAAACAUGUAUUUAAACCUUAGUGAUGCAUCCUACUGUUUUGUCCUUAUAGUGUGUUCAACAAAUAUGACUGGAUACCAGUGCAGAUGUGAGCAGAAUUUCGCUUGGUCAUUUAACAGCUGCAUUGCCAAUGGGGCUUGCGAUGCCAUCAUUGAUGACACUUGUGGUUGCAUUAAUGCCCUUCCAGCUGACAGCCAGUACUGCCAGCUAAACAACAGCCAACUAGGUAGGCCUGACUGGUUUUAAAAAUUAAUGUUCUGUAUUAAUUACAUUUACAGCUGAAUAAUUA
rnacentral:lncRNA from 1 species